AGUGGGGGAUAACGUAGCGAAAGUUACGCUAAUACCGCAUAUGCCCUGAGGGGGAAAGGAGGGGAUCGCAAGACCUUUCGCUUUCGGAGUGGCCGAUAUCAGAUUAGCUAGUUGGUGGGGUAAAGGCCCACCAAGGCGACGAUCUGUAGCGGGUCUGAGAGGAUGAUCCGCCACACUGGGACUGAGACACGGCCCAGACUCCUACGGGAGGCAGCAGUGGGGAAUUUUGGACAAUGGGGGCAACCCUGAUCCAGCCAUGCCGCGUGAGUGAAGAAGGCCUUCGGGUUGUAAAGCUCUUUCAGCCGGAAAGAAAUCGCGCAGGCUAAUAUCCUGUGUGGAUGACGGUACCGGAAGAAGAAGCACCGGCUAACUACGUGCCAGCAGCCGCGGUAAUACGUAGGGUGCGAGCGUUAAUCGGAAUUACUGGGCGUAAAGCGUGCGCAGGCGGUUUUGUAAGACAGGCGUGAAAUCCCCGGGCUUAACCUGGGAACUGCGUUUGUGACUGCAAGGCUAGAGUGUGGCAGAGGGGGGUAGAAUUCCA
rnacentral:rRNA from 1 species